CACACACACACACACACACACACACGUCCCCUGCCUUCUUCCCCUCUGUCUGCUCCUUUUCUCGUCACCUCCUCUUUUGCCAUUGUUAAUUUAUUUGGUGGUUUAGUAUGGAUCCUGGUGGCUUCCUCCAAUGUUCCCGUUCCUUUGCUGCAAGACUGGGUCAUGUGUGUCUGUCAUUGCCUUCUUCCUCUCCUCCGCCUACCUCACCUUACUCAUCACCGGCCUGGCAGACCGCAUCAAUACUGAUUGGAACUUUUUGAUGUCCUCAGUGUUUGAACGUGACAUCUUAUUGGUCCUUCGAGCCGGAUUCCAACACGUCUGACGAUUCCAGCAUGAGUGAGUGAAACCAGAAAGACCAUGGCAACCAAAUCCUGAUUGAGGAACUGCUUUUUCUUCAUUUCGGGCUGGAAUUGGAAAGACUGACGGAAAAUCCGAGGACAAAAGGAAGGAAGGCAGAGAGCAGUGAGUACGUUUUAAAUUGACGAAGAAAGAAACGACUAAGAAAAAGCGUGUGACGAGGGUUACGACGCAUAGACAAACCCUGUAAAUCCUAGGCUCUAACAGGUAAAAAAGGCCAAAAUUACUGCAGGACGUCGGUGUCCGCGAAAACUGAAAUACCCGAAAUAAACUAAAAACUAAAAUUCAAAAACUGAAGAGGCCAAUAUACUGCAGGUAAACGGAACCGCGAAAACUGACUGUCCUGAGAGAAAAAAAAAAUAAUUAACAAUCAAAGUAACUCAGCAUGACUGUUAAAAGACGACACCAAUUAGUCAUGUUGUCAGCGUAUGCCAUUGGUGGUAAGAUCGCUGCAAAUGUGUUUGUUUGUUUGUUAAUGUGUGUUUAAGUGUGUAUCUUUCCAGGUACAAAUUGUGUAAAAACCCCAGAGGUUCAAAUAAAAAUAGAAAUAGGUUAAAAGAAAAAGCAAAUAGGAGAAAAAUCUCAAAGAGCUAAAAUGAGACAAAAGUAAAAAUAGAUGAAGAAAUGGGGAAAAAUCAAUAAGAAGAAUUAAUGCAAAAUGGAAUAAACUAAUGUGUAUGACAGAGAUAAUGGGGGUAUUGAAAUAAGAGAUGAAGAAAAGGUAGACUGAAGAUAUACAUGUAUGUUUGGAUAUAUAAAGAAUGCUUUUAUAUAUACAAAUAUAUAUAUGUAUAAUUAAAUAAUGGAACAAAUAAAAACCUAGAUUAAUAACUAUAAUAAGAGUUGAGAUGUAUAGUACGAUAAAAUGAUAAAGUGGGUUACAUGUUUAUUAGCUGAGGAAAGAAGAGAGAAAAAAGAAAAAAAAAAGAGAAAUCUCUUCAAGUGUUGCUGACCUUUGCCCUUAAGAGUGCACUCACGCACUUACACACCACCAUGUGUGUGUGUGUGCGUGGCGCAGUGGGGGAGGUGUGAAAGUGAAUUUAUUACAUGUAAGUUUAAAGUAGGUUUAACUUUAAAGUGUAGUAUAACAUUCUUAAGUUAGAUUAUGUUUUAGACAUUUGCAACACCAUACAUCUGAGUGUUGAGCUAAGAUAAGAUAAGGACAUAACAUAGAAUAAAUAAGGAGGUAUGGCAAUCAGGAAAACUAUCAGCUAGCGAUAGACAACUGUUUGCUUUGAAUAUUGUUGAAUAAUAAUUGCAAAUAAAAAAUAUAAACAAUGGGAAGAAUGUAAAUUCAGAGUUUAAAAGUAUAGAUUAAGUGACGUAUAGACAGUUAAGUGAGUUUAAAACAUUACUUAAAAAAUACAUAAAGUAAUAUGUAUAACAUUUGAAUUAGGAGGAAAAAUAACAUUAGCGUUAUUAAAUCAUCUACAUAGUGAAAGACACAAAAUAAGCAAAAUAAAAGUACAAUUAUGCAAAAGAGAAGUAAAGAAUCUAGGACGUUCUCUAAACAAAAAUGGACGCACUAUUGUGGAAAAUAGAAAACCAAAGUACUACAAGUACAAAAACCACAAAUAAAGAAGCAAAUGAGGUAGUUUCUAGGAUUAACUAAUUAUUGUAGAAGUUGGAUACCAAAUUAUGCUGAAAUAGUAGCUCCUUUAAGUAAAUUAAUGAAAAAAUUAAAUCAUCUGUAGAGUGGAAUUCAGAAGCUAAAGCAGCAUUCUGUGAAAUAAAAAUAGAACAGAAUGUGCGAUUGUUACAGUAACGAAAAUUUUGAAAGCUAUCAAAUGACCAUCAAAUUGCUCAAUGCAAGCGGCAGAACUAGAAGCACUAAUAGAAGCAUGUAAAGUAAUGAAAGAUCAAAAGGUCACAAUAUAUAUAAAGAUAGCCAAAAUAUAGGAAUGAUAAAGUCAACAGGAAAAUCUGUAACACAUUGGAGAACUGAUCAAAAAAAUUAAAAAAAAGAGAGAGAAAAAAGAAUUAGUAGAAGCAGUACAGCUACCAGCUAAAAUAGUAAUAUACAAAAGUGCGACACACACCAAAGGAACAGACACAGUAUCAAUAGGAAAUGUGUUUGCUGACAAAACAGCAAAACAAGCAACAGAAAAGGAAAUACAAAUUUCAAACGACAAACUAGUGACAUGAAUAAUGAUAUACUAAAAGAUAUGCAACAACAAAGUACUCCAAAAGAAAAAGAUAAAUGGAUAAAAAAAAAAACGAAGUCACGUUGAUCAAAGAAGACAUCUAUGUAUGUCCAGACAAUAAACUAAUCUUACCAAAAAAUCUAUAUAAAUGGGUAGCAGUUUUGAGCCAUGAUUGAACUCAUGGCUCAACAGGAGGGAUAUGAAUACCCUUAUACAGAAGUACCGUAUUUUCCGCACUAUAAGGCGCACCUAAAAACCACAAAUGUUCUCAAAAGCUGACAGUGCGCCUUAUAACCCGGUGCGCUUUAUUACGAUUCAUUUUCAUAAAGUUUCGAUCUCGCAACUUCGG